UACGUAGGGUGCGAGCGUUAAUCGGAAUUAUUGGGCGUAAAGAGCGUGUAGGCGGCCUGACAGGUCUGCUGUGAAAACUCGAGGCUCAACCUCGAGAUGUCGGCGGAAACCGUCUGGCUAGAGUCCGGAAGAGGAGAGUGGAAUUCCUGGUGUAGCGGUGAAAUGCGCAGAUAUCAGGAAGAACACCUAUGGCGAAGGCAGCUCUCUGGGACGGUACUGACGCUGAGACGCGAAAGCGUGGGGAGCGAACAGG
rnacentral:rRNA from 1 species